GUCUUUUUUAUUUUAUUUUUUAUUUUUUUAAUUUUGUAAAAAGUUGAAUUUUUCUCUCUCUUACUUUACUCUUUUCUCCUUUCUUCUCUACCAAACCUUACACUUUACUCUUUUCUCCUUUCUUCUCUACAACCAAACCCUACGAAAGAAAGGUUUUCUCUCAAUAUUUCUUCCCUUUCUUCCUUUCUCAAUCUCAUCACUUUCUCCCCUCUCUUCUCUGAUCAGUCGCCAACGCACGUGAACUCGCCGCCGUGCUAUCAUCGUAGGCAGCUUCCUCCGUUGUUCAACUCUGGCCGUGGAUCUGCCCUCACCGAGGACGGAACCGUAGAAAUGGAAACCAGCAUCAUGGAUGGCCCUAAACGGAGAUGCGGAGCAGUGUCCGGACUCGUCACCGUAAAAAACCCCAUCUCUCUCGCCCGUCUUGUCAUGGAUAAAUCUCCCCAUUCCUAUCUCGCCUUCUCUGGCGCUGAGAAAUUCGCUAGGCAACAGGGUGUAGAGCUUGUAUCCAACGACUAUUUCAUCACCGAAGGAAACGUUGAGCUGCUUCAACUAGCCAAAGAAGCCAACGGUAUAUGGUAUUAAUCAUGAAUACAAGGAGUGGAACGAGAAGAACCCCCAGCUACUUACAUGUAAUAAGGACAUCAAAAAUUUAAUCCAAGGCAACACUGUUCCUCAAGAAGUUGACACUAAUAAGGAGAUUGUGUUUACGUAUGAUGUUUCAUUCAAGGUACGGUCUUCACAAAUCCUUAACUAUUCCUUAAUUGUUCCUCUGAUAUUGUCGUUAUAAACCGGAUCCUAAAGGAAAAAGGAAUACUUGUGUGAUUGUUAUCUUGUUAAUAUGUUGAGAGAUAAUUUCACUGACCACUAUGUAAAGAUAUUCUGUAGCAAGAAAGUUAGGCAAAAGGAUGAGCAUUAUCAUUUUGACGAUGAAGCUUAUGACAAAAGGAGAUUUCUUCAGGGAAUUAUCACUAAACAAAUGACUGCAAUAGAAGAAAUGGUUGCAAGUGAGUACAAUUAGCCAGACCCUCAUCUUUGUGACAAGGUCUUGAAGUUGGUCAUUUGUGAAGCGUUCUAGUUUGCUAUUAGUUGCAGUUUUAGUUAUUGCUCUCUCAAUAUAUUCUUUUUCUUUCUUUCUUUCCAAAGAAUGAUCAGCAUAAUUUAUGUGUUUGGAUUCAAGUUGUAUAUAAAUGUACACAUUAUUACGAUUUCAUUUUGUAUAUGUACAAGUAAAAGAUUUCAUUUUUAACUAUUUGGUGUCAUACAAAAUGGACAAUAAUGCAAGGAUUUAAUAAAAAUAAAUUUGAAAAAACGACAUUAAAGACAACUUUAAUGUCGGUUAAAAAAAAAUUAAAGACAUCUUUAAUGUCGGUGGAAAAACGACAUUAAAGAUGUAUCAUA